UUCUCGGGUUUCUGGGUGCCACCAAACCCCAGACGAGCCCCCAAAAUGUAAGACCCCCUUUCAAGGACCCCCGCUCUAGUCUCAGGAGAGAGAGUGUACCCAAAGAAACACGAGAAUCC
rnacentral:pre_miRNA from 7 species